rnacentral:rRNA from 1 species
AUUGAACGCUGGCGGCAGGCCUAACACAUGCAAGUCGAACGAGUGGCGGACGGGUGAGUAAUGUCUGGGAAACUGCCCGAUGGAGGGGGAUAACUACUGGAAACGGUAGCUAAUACCGCAUACCAUCGGAUGUGCCCCGAUGGGAUUAGCUAGUAGGUGGGGUAACGGCUCACCUGGGAGACGAUCCCUAGCUGGUCUGAGAGGAUGACCAGCCACACGGGAACUGAGACACGGUCAAGACUCCUCGGUGAGGCAGAAGUGGGGAAUAUUGCACAAUGGGCGCAAUCCUGAUGCAGCCAUGCCGCGUGUAUGAAGAAGGCCUUCGGGUUGUAAAGUACUUUCAGCGAGGAGGCGUUACUCGCAGAAGAAGCACCGGCUAACUCCGUGCCAGCAGCCGCGGUAAUUC